rnacentral:rRNA from 1 species
GACGAACGCUGGCGGUGUGCUUAACACAUGCAAGUCGAACGGAAAGGCCCUGCUUUUGUGUGGUGCUCGAGUGGCGAACGGGUGAGUAACACGUGAGUAACCUGCCCUUGACUUUGGGAUAACUUCAGGAAACUGGGGCUAAUACCGGAUAGGAGCUCCUGCUGCAUGGUGGGGGUUGGAAAGUUUCGGCGGUUGGGGAUGGACUCGCGGGUUAUCAGCUUGAUGGUGGGGUAGUGGCUUACAAAGGCUGUGACGGGUAGCCGGCCUGAGAGGGUGACCAGCCACAUUGGGACUGAGAUACGGCGCAGACUCGUACGGGAGGCAGCAGUGGGGAAUAUUGCACAAUAGGCGGAAGCCUGAUGCAGCAACGCCGCGUGCGGGAUGACGGGCUACGGGUUGUAAACCGCUUUCGCCUGUGACGAAGCGUGAGUGACGGUAAUGGGUAAAGAAGCACCGGCUAACUACGUG